rnacentral:rRNA from 1 species
AGUAACGGCGAGUGAAGCGGGAAGAGCUCAAAUUUAAAAUCUGGCGUGCCUCUGGUCGUCCGAAUUGUAGCCUGAAGAAGCGUCUUCUGUGUUGGACCGUGUACAAGUCUCUUGGAACAUGGCGUCAUAGAGGGUGCGAAUCCCGUCUUUGACACGGACUACCAAUGCUUUGUGAUGCGCUCUCAAAGAGUCGAGUUUUUUGGGA